CGUAGGUGGCAAGCGUUGUCCGGAUUUAUUGGGUUUAAAGGGUGCGUAGGCGGUCUAUUAAGUCAGUGGUGAAAUAUGGCAGCUUAACUGUCAGGGUGCCAUUGAUACUGAUGGACUUGAGUGAAGUCGAAGUAGGCGGAAUUGACGGUGUAGCGGUGAAAUGCUUAGAUAUCGUCAAGAACACCGAUAGUGAAGACAGCUUACUAGGCUUAUACUGACGCUGAGGCACGAAAGUGUGGGGAUCAAACAGGAUUAGAUACCCUGGUAGUCCACACUGUAAACGUUGAUUACUCGCUGUUGGCGAUACACAGCCAGCGGCCAAGCGCAAGCGAUAAGUAAUCCACCUGGGGAGUACGCCGGCAACGGUG
rnacentral:rRNA from 1 species